AAACCAGCACCUCAAGUGGUCAGGAGGAUUAUUGGGCCUAAAGCAUCCGUAGCCUGUUCUGUAAGUUUUCGGUUAAAUCCACUAGCUCAACUAGUGGGCUGCCGAAAAUACUGUAGAACUAGGGAGUGGGAGAGGUAGACGGUAUUCGGUAGGAAGGGGUAAAAUCCUUUGAUCUAUUGAGGACCACCUGUGGCGAAGGCGGUCUACCAGAACACGUUCGACCGUGAGGGAUGAAAGCUGGGGGAGCAAACAGGAUUAGAAACCCCAGUAGUCC
rnacentral:rRNA from 1 species